GGAUGUGAGGGUGAUCUGGCUGCGACAUCUGUUACCCCCGUUGAUUGCCAGGGUUGAUUCGGCUGAUCUGGCUAGCUAGGCAGGUUUUCCCGUCCUCCCUCACUGCUCCUUGUGCAUCCCUCCCGAAGCUGCGCGCUCAAUCAAAGAGGAAGGCUUUCCAAGGAAUAGAGACGAACUGGUGUUUGGUCGAGGGUAUACGAGUAGCUGUGCUCCCCUGCUAGAAUCUCCAAACAAGCUCUCAAAGAUAGUUCCUGUGUCUGUCAGUUGAGUCCAGAUACUAACACUGCUGUAAUUGUGCAUUUGUUU
ensembl:misc_RNA 7SK 7SK RNA